GGAAUUCGGGUGGAGGGCAGUCGGUAAGACGGGGGGGGCAAGCUGGGUUCUGAAGUACGGGGCGGAAAGGGGUCGGAGGCGGCCAAUUAAGUCGGAGGUGAACUCCCCAGGCUCAGCCUGGGACCUGCAUCCGAUACUGGUGGGCUUGAAUCCGGGAGAGGGAUGCGGAAUUCCAGGUGGAGCGGUGAAAUGCGUAGAUAUCUGGAGGAACACCGGUGGCGAAGGCGGCAUCCUGGACCGGCAUUGACGCUGAGUGAGCGAAAGCCAGGGGAGCAAACGGGAUUAGAUACCCCAGUAGUC
rnacentral:rRNA from 1 species